rnacentral:rRNA from 1 species
UAAUCUACCUUUGGGUAGGGAAUAACUAUGCGAAAGCGUAGCUAAUACCCUAUGUGGUUUCAUAACGUUGGUUGUGAAAAGAAAGGGGGUCGUAAGAUCUCUCGCCAAGAGAUGAGCCUGGGCCCGAUUAGCUAGUUGGUGAGGUAAUGGCUCACCAAGGCGACGACCGGUAGCUGAUCUGAGAGGAUGAUCAGCCACACUGGAACUGACACACGGUCCAG